GCAGUGACAGGUUACAUGUUCUCAAGAAAUCCGCAAAAAUGAACACUAGAGUGGGGCAUCCAUGUGUUAUUUGUUGCAGGACAAAGGGCACCCACCCACACUUGGUCUUCCAUCGCUUUCCUAAAGAUCAUGACAGUUAGUAUAGUGAGCAAUGGCAGGAAAGCCAGAACAUCGAGCUGCUGCAGAGGGACAACAACUUCCAGUGCACCCAUCCUCUGCAUCAUUGCAGGAUCUUGCCAAAGUGACAUAUGAGGAGUUUCAUCACCUGUCUGAGAAAGAAAAUUAGAUAGGGUUCAGUAUGUUGAUACGCAAUACAACCUAGCUCAAAUAUUAAAAAAGUAAUUA